CAACGUCCUUCCAAAUCCAAUAUCACAGUUUAAACCCAACAUUAAUUACACCAACUACCACACUUAGAUUAAGAUAGCCGUUGAGACUAAACAGUCUAUAAAUAAGGAUCAACUAUAAGACAAACAUUGAGUUCUACAAUCCUAAUAAGUCUGUAGGAAAUUCUGCUCAUACACUCAACUUGCUUGUUCAAAUCUUCUUCAACAAUCAGCCAUUGUUUCAUCUAGAUCAUCUCAUCACACUUGUUCUUCAUCUGGAGAUAAUUCAUCUGAAUUGUGAUCAUCGACUUCGAUCAUCAUCUCCAGAAUCUGCAAUCUGCUGUCAUCUCAAUCUUCUCCGGAAUAUGUAUUGUUAAUUUACUUCAAACAGUUCAAUAUUGUUUUACAUAAACUAUUUCAUUUCAUCUUCAAUAUUCAAAUACUCAUUACAUUAUAAGAUACAUUACAAUCAUAUAAUUCUAACAAAAUCACUAGAACUACUUUUCCUUUUAGUAAUUCUAAAAGCAAGAAUAUUUUUGAAAUAUUAUACAUUGAUAUUUGGGGGAAAUACAAAAUUCUCACACAUUCUGAACAUCAAUAUUUCCUAAUUAUAGUAGAUGAUUUUAGCAGGGUCACUUAGACCUUACUAAUGAACAAUAAAAGUAGCACACUAGAAAUAUCUAAAACGUUUACAAAACCGACCAUGAACCAAUUAGAUAUGGAAAAGAAUUUCUGUCACAUGCAAUUUCAGAUUAUUUCAAAAUGAAGCUACAACCUCUUAAAGGUCUUUGGUUGUCUUUACUAUGCAAAGGACAACUCAUCCAAAAUAAAGUUCCAACCAAUUAAGACCCAUAAAAGGUAUCUUCUUGGAGUACUCAACAUUGGCCCAAAAACCACCCUAACCCAACAAUUAUUUAAAUUGAGAUCAAUUUUAUACUAAGCUAAUUAUUGAGAUUUAAUCAAUUAAUAUAUACAAUCCUAAAUAUUAAACCCUAAACCAGACAUUUAGGCCUAAACCAUGGAUACUAAACUGAUCGAUCACUCUACUCCAGCCUCGAUCCACCUUUAAUAAUAGAGUCGUUGCACCUGCAUGCAUGUCUUUGCAGUACCACCGGCCUAUAUAAAUAUCUUCACUACAAUGAUAGAUUCAACUUCUCAAUACUUCGAUUCCUUUCUAUCAUUCUUAAUUCCAACCUUCACCUCAAGUGGGAUCACUUCGCUCUUCUCAAUCUAAUUAAAGAUCACACUCUUUUUUUAUAAUGGAGAGUACCUCUUUCUACAGAUGUAGAACUGUCAAUCUCUGAAUGAUAUAUAUACAUACCAAAGUCACAUAAUAUAUCAUCGGAUAAUUAAAUUUAAGUGAAAUGUAUAAAUUAAGUAAGAUUCGAAUUCUGGACUUCAGAAACUUUAAUAGUUCCUGAGACAAGUGAGCCAAUCUUACUUUCUGAAUAUCAUACUCCAAUCUCAUUAAUGGAAUCACAUUGUCUCAUGCUACUAUCAUCGUCAUCUACUAUACUCCAUCCAGUCAUCCAUCUUCUUUCUUCCGUUGCUAUAUAUCGAUCGCUCAACUCUAGUAAUUGUCUGCACUUAUAUUUAUUCCUAUAAUAGAUUAGUUAAGUACUUAAUUAUCUUUCAUGUUGAACCUGCAUCACCAUAAGUCCAUAAUUAGUUAUAUUAAUAUUUAAUAUCAUGCAUUUUUAAUAAUGGCAGACAUAUUUUUUGAUUCAAUCAUAUGCAAUAUACCUUAAUUAAAGAUAUGUCGUGUCGUGUUUAAGGUUAAUUGUAAUGGUAUAAUAGAAUUUAGAACAAGCUAAGUUAGGUAUAUCUUAAUUAGUACUGCACGAUUCUAGAUUGAUUAAACAUGUUAAAUAUUCAUUCAUACAUGCAUGCAUGAUCUAACUAGGUUAUUAAUAUUAAUUAUCAUCUCGAUCUCGAUCUCUAACUAGCUAGAACUCAAAUUCCAAAUCAUUUCCCAUGCCACUUUUAUUCUAUUCUAUAUAUAUAUUCCAAUUCAAAUUGGUAAUUGCACGGAACUAUCUAACAUGCAACCACGUUGGUGAUCUAGCUAGUUCUGAAAUUUCAAACACUGGGGCAAGAGGAAUCCGAUUCGACGUCAAUGUCUAGCUCGAUCAUCCACUUGUCUCGAGAUUUGGGGGUUUAUAUUUUUUCAAUCCCGUCCAGGAUUGAUGAUUAUCUAACCCUAAACAUAGAAUUGAAGGUCUCGAUCAUCAGAAAAUGCAGGCAAAGUAAAAAAGAAGAAGACAUUAAAGACAUUUGUAGUGUAGAUAGAUAGAUAGAUGCUUAUUCGAUCUUCAUGCAUCGAUAAAGCUCUCAUAUAUAUAUAUUGACGUACCUGGCUAGGAGGUAGCAGCUCUUUCUUCUUUUCUCUUUAUGGAGAUCGAAUAUAUGUGUUAUAUUUUAUAUGAUUCUGUCCAAUUAAAUUAACUCCAAAGUGCAAGCUUGGCCAUGUUUGUAUUUCGAUACCCACAGUCGCUAUCAGCAUGUGAUGGAUUGAUUCAUCGGUCCCUUAAAGAAGUUGCAUGGGGAAUUGCUUAGUAAUGGCCGGUAGCUGCUACCUUUCACCUUUCUACACGGCUAAGUAACAGUGGCCUGCUCUAGCUGGGUUGGAGAAUAACAUAACAUGCAUAUAUAUUUUAUCUGGGAUUCUCUUUCGACUUUCAUCUCAAAUCAAUUUAUAAAGGAAACCCUAGCAGAAAAUUUAAGGGAAAUCAGACCAGCUGGUUCAUCUUAGGCCCAUGGGUUUAAGGACUACGAAAUGACCACCUCUACUGAGUUAUACUAGUAUGUAAAUGGGCCGAGUCAGGGUUAGCUGGUUUGGAUUCGGACCCAUGAAGUUGGUUCAAGUCUG
rnacentral:lncRNA from 1 species